rnacentral:rRNA from 1 species
UACGUAGGGCGCAAGCGUUAUCCGGAAUUAUUGGGCGUAAAGAGCUCGUAGGCGGUUUGUCGCGUCUGCCGUGAAAGUCCGGGGCUCAACUCCGGAUCUGCGGUGGGUACGGGCAGACUAGAGUGAUGUAGGGGAGACUGGAAUUCCUGGUGUAGCGGUGAAAUGCGCAGAUAUCAGGAGGAACACCGGUGGCGAAGGCGGUUCUCUGGGCAUGAUCUGACGCUGAGGAGCGAAAGUGUGGGGAGCGAACAGG